rnacentral:rRNA from 1 species
AGCGUCAUCCUACGGGAGACAGCAGUAGGGAAUUUUCGUCAAUGGGGGCAACCCUGAACGAGCAAUGCCGCGUGAGCGAAGAAGGUCUUCGGAUUGUAAAGCUCUGUUGCCGGGGAAAAAGGAAGGAAAGAGGAAAUGCUUUUCUUUGGAUGGUACCCGGCCAGAAAGUCACGGCUAACUACGUGCC